UACGGGGGGGGCAAGCGUUGUCCGGAUUUAUUGGGCGUAAAGCGUGCGUAGGUGGUGAGUUAAGUCUGUCGUGAAAGCCCCGGGCUCAACCUGGGAAUGGCGAUGGAUACUGGCUCGCUAGAGUGCGGUAGAGGAGAGUGGAAUUCCCGGUGUAGCAGUGAAAUGCGUAGAUAUGCGGAGGAACACCGAUGGCGAAGGCAAUCCCCUGGGCCUGCACUGACGCUCAUGCACGAAAGCGUGGGGAGCAAACAGG
rnacentral:rRNA from 1 species